UACGAAGGGGGCUAGCGUUGUUCGGAAUUACUGGGCGUAAAGGGCGCGUAGGCGGUACUUCAAGUCAGGCGUGAAAGCCCCGGGCUCAACCUGGGAACCGCGCUUGAGACUGGAGAACUAGAGUUCGGGAGAGGAUGGUGGAAUUCCCAGUGUAGAGGUGAAAUUCGUAGAUAUUGGGAAGAACACCGAUGGCGAAGGGAGCCAUCUGGACCGACACUGACGCUGAGGCGCGAAAGCGUGGGGAGCAAACAGG
rnacentral:rRNA from 1 species